UACGGGAGGCAGCAGUGGGGAAUAUUGCACAAUGGGCGCAAGCCUGAUGCAGCCAUGCCGCGUGUAUGAAAAAGGCCUUCGGGUUGUAAAGUACUUUCAGUCGUGAGGAAGGUGUUAAGGUUAAUAACCUUAGCAAUUGACGUUAGCGACAGAAGAAGCACCGGCUAACUCCGUGCCAGCAGCCGCGGUAAUACGGAGGGUGCGAGCGUUAAUCGGAAUUACUGGGCGUAAAGGGCACGCAGGCGGUUAAUUAAGUUGGAUGUGAAUCCCCGGGCUUAACCUGGGAAUGGCAUUCAAGACUGGUUAGCUAGAGUCUUGUAGAGGGGGUAGAAUUCCAUGUGUAGCGGUGAAAUGCGUAGAGAUGUGGAGGAAUACCGGUGGCGAAGGCGGCCCCUGGACAAAGACUGACGCUCAUGUGCGAAAGCGUGGGGAGCAAACAGGGAUUAGAUACCCGU
rnacentral:rRNA from 1 species